GGGUACCCUACACAUUAUGGGCAUUGCAUUACUGGGCAAGUCUUGCUUUGGCAGUUGGCAACUCGUAAAUAUCAUACAGAAAUUAAUUUAAGAGUAAGCUCACUGCCAAAGAAGAUUUGCCCCGCAAUUCAUGCCCUACAAAUUGUUUGUGUUGGGUCCC
rnacentral:sRNA from 1 species